rnacentral:rRNA from 1 species
CCCUUAGAUGUUCUGGGCCGCACGCGCGCUACACUGAUGCAUUCAACGAGCCUAUCCUUGACCGACAGGUCCGGGUAAUCUUUGAAUCUGCAUCGUGACGGGGAUAGAUUAUUGCAAUUAUUAAUCUUCAACGUGGAAUGCCUAGUAGGCGCAAGUCAUCAGCUUGCGUCGAUUACGUCCCUGCCCUUUGUACACACCGCCCGUCGCUCCUACCGAUUGGGUGUGCUGGUGAAAUGUUCGGAUCGGCCGUUUGUCGCGGUUUCCGCGUCAUGUGGCUGAGAAGUUCAUUAAACCCUCCCACCUAGAGGAAGGAGAAGUCGUAACA